rnacentral:rRNA from 1 species
AACCUAUGCAGGGGAAUAACCUCGGGAAACUAAGUAUAAUGCCCCAUAGUCCACUACGCCUGGAACGGUGAGUGGAUCAAAGCUCAGGCGGCAUAGGAUGGGCCUGCGGCGUAUCAGGUUGUAGGGGGUGUAAAGUACCCUCUAGCCAUCUACGCGUACGGGUGUUGGGAGACAUAGCCCGGAGAUGGAUUCUGAGACACGAAUCCAGACCCUACGGGGUGCAGCAGGCGCGAAAACUUGACAAUGCGAGCAAUCGUGAUCAGGGAACUCCAAGUGGCUGGGGUAAGACCCAGUCUUUUCAUAACUCUUCAAAGGUUGUAGAAUAAGGGGUGGGUAAGGACGGUGCCAGCCGCCGCGGUAAUACCGGCGCCUCAAGUGGUAGUCGCUUUUAUUGGGCCUAAAACGUCCGUAGCCGGUUUGGUACAUUCGUGGGUAAAUCAACUCGCUCAACGAGUUGAAUUCUGCGAGGACGGCCAGACUUGGGACCGGGAGAGGUGUGGGGUACUCUCAGGGUAGGGGUAAAAUCCUGUCAUCCUGAGAGGACCACCUGUUGCGAAGGCGCCACACUAGAACGGAUCCGACGGUCAGGGACGAAGCCUAGGGGCACGAACCGGAUUAGAUACCCGGGUAGUCCUAGGUGUAAACGCUGUGGACUUGAUGUUGGAGAAGCUCCGAGCUUCUUCAGUGUCGAAGCGAAGGUGAUAAGUCCACUGCCUGGGAAGUACGGUCGCAAGGCUGAAACU